UUUGCCAUUAUCUGGGUAUUUAGUGCAUCAUUGUUCUGAAUUUACUAUUUAUUAACAAAAAUCAAAAUUAUUCUUAUAAAACUAUUAAUUGUUAAAGACAUUAAAUUUCAGUAUUUUUAUUAAUUUCUCAACUUAAAGAAGUUAAUGCGCAUAUAAAUUCAUAAAUAGUUUAUAAUUAGUAAGUUAGUGAUUAUAAUAAAGCGUCAGUUGUUAUUAUCUGGGUGUUUAGUGCAUCAUUUUUCUAAAUUUAUUGUUUAUAACUAGUGUUUAACGGUGAAAAUUCAAUGAGUUAAUAUAUUUUAGUAGUGGUGAGCUUUUAAAUCAAUCAAUUGAUCGAAAAAAAAGGCAGAAGGAAGACAUGAGGGUAGUUGGAGAUCAAUCAGGAAUUAUUCUAAUAUGGUACAUCAUGGCAAAACCUGAUCAGGCCCCCAUUACAUUGCUAUCAAAAAGAUUAGGACAAAUAGGAAGGAAAAGAUGAUAUGCUGACUACAAUGACAGACUUUAAGAGGAAAAAAUCAGCUUGGUUUACCUGAUUGAAACCCUAAUUGGACUUAGCAGCAAGUGAUCAGUCGUAUUUACUCUAUCAAGACCAAAGAUUAAUUUGAUGUGUGGUUUAAAAAAAAGGGAAAUAAGUCUUCGAUAUUAGCUAGUUUAUUAUGUAUAAACUAGUAGUGGUGUAUUAUGUGUAUAAAAAGACACUAAUAGCUAUUGCUGGAGUAUCAGAAAAGAUAUGCGUUGAAGAAGGGAGCAAGAAGCAUGAUGAAGGGAGUGGCUCCAUAGGGGAUUGUCGCUUCAUGCAUUUUAUAUUUUGUUCAACCUUGAUUCUACGAUAGUACUUUCAAGAACGACCCUAGAGUAUAAUCCUUAAUCUUUGAUCAGAAAUUAUCUUUGAUCGCUGC